GACGAACCGUGCAAACGUUGUUCGGAAUCACUGGGCUUAAAGGGCGCGUAGGCGGAUGAGCAAGUCUGUGGUGAAAUCCCCCGGCUUAACCGGGGAACUGCCGUGGAUACUGCCCAUCUCGAGGAAGAUAGGGGCGUCUGGAACUAGCGGUGGAGCGGUGAAAUGCGUUGAUAUCGCUAGGAACUCCGGUGGCGAAGGCGGCUUCCUGGACCUGUUCUGACACUGAGGAGCGAAAGCGUGGGGAGCGAUCCGG
rnacentral:rRNA from 1 species